GCGCCUAGUGCUAGUUGGUAAAGGCAGCACUCUAGAUGCUGAGGUCAUGGGUUCGACUCCCAUCAGACACA
rnacentral:tRNA from 1 species